rnacentral:lncRNA from 1 species
UUUUUUUAUCAUAAAAAGCUUGAGAACGACAAUGGAUUUACCCCAGAUACAAAGUUUAGUGUUAGAAGGGGGCAAAGAUGUUUUCAGCAAACCAGAAGCUACUAGAAGGAAGUGCCUUCUGGAGGUUGAACAAGCUUACGGUUAUGCGACGCAGUCAUUUCCUUCUUCAGCUGUACCAGUAUAUCUUCCAUUGUGUACUCCCUUUGCCAGUUCGCAAGAAGCCCGAACUUCUUGGGAUCCACCUAUACAUUACAAAUGCAUCUUCAGACAAAAGUUACCGAAAGGAACGAGUCAGAGAAUGGCAGGAUGAUGAUUUUAUUAUGAGUACCACUCCUGUUUCAUGGUUGACACAAGUCAUGUUGAUACGUGUCAACCGCGAGAAACAAACCUCACGGGUAGAAUCGACCAACAAGGUUAGUGUUAAAUACUGAAAUCGUAUAUGUAGUGUUUUCAUGUCGAAUGAUUAGUGUUUGGCAGAGAUUGCAAAUCAAGAAUGACGACACAGAACAUCAACAAGUACAAAAUAACAAUUUACAAGAGAUUUUGGACCUCUCUCUCUCUCUCAGUCCUCUCUAUAUGCAACUAAUAAUUAAAUUCAAAAGAUUGAACAGAUGGACUGGGGAAGACGCUGUUUUUGAUAAUUUGCACACAAGUAGAAACUUCAUGAUCAAUCGAACAACAUCACCACCAUCCACAUAGACCAUUUUUUUUUAUCAUAAAAAGCUUGAGAACGACAAUGGAUUUACCCCAGAUACAAAGUUUAGUGUUAGAAGGGGGCAAAGAUGUUUUCAGCAAACCAGAAGCUACUAGAAGGAAGUGCCUUCUGGAGGUUGAACAAGCUUACGGUUAUGCGACGCAGUCAUUUCCUUCUUCAGCUGUACCAGUAUAUCUUCCAUUGUGUACUCCCUUUGCCAGUUCGCAAGAAGCCCGAACUUCUUGGGAUCCACCUAUACAUUACAGAUGCAUAUUCAGACAUAAGUUACCGAAAGGAACGAGACAGAGAAUUGGCAGGGUGAUGAUUUUUAUGUGUACCACUCCUGUUUCAUGGUUGACACAAGUCAUGUUGAUACGUGAAUGGAACCGGACAGUGGGAGGUUUCUCAGGGUAAUCUUUGUCACAAAAGAGCUUCAACUGAUAGAUCCUACCUUCAUGAACAGUCUGCUCAUAGAAGAAGAUAAAAAAAAAAAAAAAAUAGAUAUCUGUAAGGACAAGCAGAAACAAGAACCUUAGUGCUAAAGAAAAAAGCUUAGGAUAAGAGCAUUGAUCAAUGCUUAUUAAAAGGAGAAAGAUAUAAGUACGUUGUGAGGAGCGAUGAUAGUGCCAGUCCAAGAGCGCAUGUAAAUGUCAUCACCAUAUUUUUUUUUAUCAUAAAAAGCUUGAGAACGACAAUGGAUUUACCCCAGAUACAAAGUUUAGUGUUAGAAGGGGGCAAAGAUGUUUUCAGCAAACCAGAAGCUACUAGAAGGAAGUGCCUUCUGGAGGUUGAACAAGCUUACGGUUAUGCGACGCAGUCAUUUCCUUCUUCAGCUGUACCAGUAUAUCUUCCAUUGUGUACUCCCUUUGCCAGUUCGCAAGAAGCCCGAACUUCUUGGGAUCCACCUA